rnacentral:rRNA from 1 species
AUUGAACGCUGGCGGCAGGCCUAACACAUGCAAGUCGAGCGGAUGAACGGAGCUUGUUCCUGGCUUCAGCGGCGGACGGGCGAGUAAUGCCUAGGAAUCUGCCUGGCAUAGGGGAAUAACGUCCGGAAACGGGCGCGAAUACCGCACACGUCCUGAGGUAGAAAGUGGGGGAUCUUUGGACAUCACGCUAUCUGCUGAGCCUAGGUCGGAUUAGCUAGUUGGUGAGGUAAAGGCCUACCAAGGCGACGAUCCGUAACUGGUCUGAGAGGGUGAUCAGUCACACUGGAACUGAGACACGGUCCAGACUCCUACGGGAGGCAGCAGUGGGGAAUAUUCGACAAUGGGCGAAAGCCUGAUGGAGCAAUGCCGCGUGUGUGAAGAAGGUCUUCGGAUUGUAAAGCACUUUUAGUUGGGAGGAAGGACAGUGAGUGAAUACCUUGCUGUUUUGACGUCACCAACAGAAUAAGCACCGGCUAACUUCGUG